rnacentral:rRNA from 1 species
ACUCAAAUGAAUAGACGGGGGCCCGCACAAGCGGUGGAGCAUGUGGUUCAAUUCGACGCAACGCGAAGAACCUUACCCAGGCUCGAACGGCAGAUGACGUCUCACGAAAGUGGGUUUCCGCAAGGACAUCUGUCGAGGUGCUGCAUGGCUGUCGUCAGCUCGUGUCGUGAGAUGUUGGGUUAAGUCCCGCAACGAGCGCAACCCUUGUCCUCUGUUGCCAUCAGGUUAUGCUGGGCACUCUGGGGAGACUGCCGGUGACAAACCGGAGGAAGGUGGGGAUGACGUCAAGUCCGCAUGGCCUUUAUGUCUGGGGCCACACACGUGCUACAAUGGCAGAUACAAACCGUCGCGAGACCGCAAGGUGGAGCUAAUCGGAGAAAGUCUGUCUCAGUUCGGAUUGCAGGCUGCAACUCGCCUGCAUGAAGUUGGAAUCGCUAGUAAUCGCGGAUCAGCACGCCGCGGUGAAUACGUUCCCGGGCCUUGUACACACCGCCCGU